GCCUUCUUGGGAAAGGGCAAGGGACAUCCUAGAAGCCUGCGGAGCUUCAGACCUGGGUUCGAAUCCCAGCUCGGGCG
rnacentral:tRNA from 1 species